rnacentral:rRNA from 1 species
AUUGAACGCUGGCGGCAGGCCUAACACAUGCAAGUCGAGCGGAUGAAGGGAGCUUGCUCCCGGAUUCAGGGGCGGACGGGUGGGUAAUGCCUAGGAAUCUGCCUGGUAGCGGGGGAUAACGUCCUGAAACGGGCGAUAAUACCCCAUACGUCCUUAGGGCGAAAGUGGGGGAUCUUCGGAUCUCACGCCAUCAGAUGAGCCUAGGACGCAUUAGCUGGUUGGUGGGGUAAAGGGCUACCAAGGCGGCGAUCCGAAACUGGUCGGAGGGGAUGAUCGGUCACACGGGAACUGAGACACGUUCCCACCCCCUAGGGGAGGCAGCGGUGGGAAAUAUUGGAGAGGGGGCGAAAGCCUAUACAAGCCAAGCGGCGUGUGUGAAGAAGGUCUUCGGAUUGUAAAGCACUUUAGGUUGAGAGGAAGGGAGGUAAGUUAAUACCUUGCUGUUUGAAGGUAACCAAAGAAAAAGCCACGGGUAACUUUGUG